AACGAACGCUGGCGGCAGGCCUAACACAUGCAAGUCGAACGCCCUGGCAACAGGGAGUGGCAGACGGGUGAGUAACGCGUGGGAACGUGCCCUUCGGUUCGGAAUAACUCAGGGAAACUUGAGCUAAUACCGGAUACGCGCGAGAGCAGAAAGAUUUAUCGCCGAAGGAUCGGCCCGCGUCCGAUUAGCUAGUUGGUGAGGUAACGGCUCACCAAGGCGACGAGCGGUAGCUGGUCGGAGAGGAUGAUCAGCCACACUGGAACUGAGAAACGGCCCGGACUCCUACGGGAGGCAGCAGUGGGGAAUAUUGGACAAUGGGCGCAAGCCUGAUCCAGCCAUGCCGCGUGAGUGAUGAAGGCCCUAGGGUUGUAAAGCUCUGUCGCCAGGGACGAUAAUGACGGUACCUGGAUAAGAAGCCCCGGCUAACUUCGUGCCAGCCGCCGCCGUAA
rnacentral:rRNA from 1 species